CGCAAGCCUGACGGAGCAAGACCGCGUGGGGGAGGAAUGCCUUAGGGUUGUAAACCCCUUUUAUCUGGGAAGAACAAAAUGACGGUACCAAAGGAAUCAGCCUCGGCUAACUCCGUGCCAGCAGCCGCGGUAAUACGGAGGAGGCAAGCGUUAUCCGGAAUGAUUGGGCGUAAAGCGUCCGCAGGUGGCAAUGUAAGUCUGCUGUCAAAGCACGGGGCUUAACUCCGUAAAGGCAGUGGAGACUGAAUAGCUAGAGUGCCGUAGGGGUAGAGGGAAUUCCCGGUGUAGCGGUGAAAUGCGUAGAGAUCGGGAAGAACAUCGGUGGCGAAAGCGCUCUACUGGACGGCAACUGACACUCAGGGACGAAAGCUAGGGGAGCG
rnacentral:rRNA from 1 species